AUGGAGGUUCUCAGGCUAGGGGUCAAGUUGGAGCUGUAGCUGCUGGCCUACACCACAGCCAUAGCAACACAGGAUCCAAGCCGUGUCUGUGACCUACACCAUAGGUCACAGCAAUGCUGGGUCCUUAACCCACUGAGUGAGGCCAGGGAUGGAACCUGCAUCCUCAUGGAUCCUAGUCAGGUUUGUUAACCACUGAGCCAUGAUGGGAACUCCUGGUUCCGUGAUGUCCCAGAAUGAGGAGUCCCUAACGAGGCAGACACCCUAAUGGAACAGGAAUGGAUGACUGGGUCCUGCUGAUUCUCAGGCUAUUCUGAGGAAAGUGACAACUUAAAGCUCCUUUAACUACUGCCAGCAUCUCACACCAAAGUCAUAAACAGUGCCUGCACAAAAAUACGUCCGUGGGAAACACGGCCCAGGAAAUUCCUCGUGGGUUACUCUCCUCCUGGUUCAGAAGCCUCUCUGUUUUCCCGCUUGCUGCCUUUAAAAAUAAAAAUACUUUUUCUGUCUUGCGACCAGCCCUUACGAGCUGAUGGUUUACCACUUGCCAGGCCAGGUGCUUUACGCUAGCUCAUUGAAUCCUCACAGAAGCCUGCGCGGCGUGGAGCACCUCUCAAUUACAGACCAGUAAACUGAGUCACAAAGAAGUUAAGAAAUCCACCCACGGCCACGGGGCUAACAAUAAGCAAAGCCACAUCUUAAAAAUAAAAUAGACCACAACAACAAAAAAUCAAACAAACAAACAAAAAAGAUCUGAAUGUCUCCAAAAUGCAGAUUCUCAUCCAUUCUGUUUUCCAACACCUUGUAAAAGGGAAUGCAUUUUCCUUCUUAUUUUGCCUCCUCCUGCCUUGGACAUCUGGCUCAGAACUAGUUACAGUGGCCCUGAGCUCCAGGUAUCUUUAUGCUGCAAAACUUUCGGUACUGGGGGAUCAGGAUCCCUUCCCCUGCAAGGUCCACGCAAGUCCUGAAACACAUCUGGAUUAGCGUCUCCCGCGCAGAGAGAUUUCAGCCAGCCGCCAACUGCAGUCUGGCAGAGCGGGUCACCGCACAAGGCUCACAGGGCUCAGAGGACAGGGGAGAUGCGGCUUGGAGCUCAGGAGAAUGUCCCCCGAAACAUCAGGUGCAAUGGCGCUUUAUUCUGGGUGGGCCAGUCUUGAAACUCAAAAUUGAUCAACAUGUCUGGGAAUCUGAAAGACUGACUCAGAAAUCCCCAGGCCCUUGGCUGGACCAUUACAUGAAGGCCCUGGAUCCCCUAACGGAGCUUUGCUAUAAUCUCCUCUGCGCUCCCCUGCCUGGGCCCCCUCCUGGUCCCCGCCCAGCGCGAUAGCUGCCUCAUCAAGUGUGAAUCAUGAAACCACAUAAACUGCAACAAGGCCAUGCUCCUGCUGACUUCGGGGAACAUAAACAAUAAUAACGUAAAUAUGACUUACUAAAGGCUUAAGCCGAGUGCUUAAAGGAAAUCUAUCUAUCCAUAUAUUUUUUUAUGUAAACAGUCUUCUGUUUACCGAUGUGGUCCAGUUGUUCUGCUCAACUCUGGAAGAUCUGAAGCCAGCCUGCCAGGGAAGCAAGGGGCAUAUAACCCACGGCCAGGAGGCUGCCAAGAAAGAGAAUGCAGAACCUCACUUGUACGGUCCCUUCCCUCUUCUGGAAGGCACGGCAGAUGGUGACGCUUUGUUAGGUGUUCAGACAUCAACCUCGUCCUUUCCGAGCCCUGAGAGAACUCUUCGGAGGGCCAAAGCUCUGUGUGUGUGUGUGUGUGUGUGUGUGUAGAUAAGACAGAGAGAGAUCAAAGGUGUUGGGGUGGAAACUCAGACACAGCUCAAACCAUGAAAAAAACCUCCCACAAUCCUUCUGCCGCCCUUUGUCCCUGGGCUGAAUCCGCUGGUCCUGGGUGGUGAGGUACCGCUGGAAGAUGUUCGACAACGUGAAAAUUCCUCAUCGCUGCCAACCACAAAUAUUUGGGGUUUGUGUUAUCUAGGUUAUAAUGAGAACCUGCCAGGGAAAAAUUCAGACAUACAAAUCUCUGUGUAAACUGCCUUAAGAGCCUUAAGCUGACAAAAGCCAGAGCAAAGUCUGAAAUUCUGUCCUCAGAGUGCCCAUAAUUGAGGCUCUGGCUCUUCCUAUAUCAUAGCAGGAUUCCAGUGGGGCUUGGGUUUUCCACGUAUGCCAUUCAGUGCUUGGGCCAGAAAAGUCUUGCUUUGUGCUGUGGCGCAGGCGUUUUGUUCAAAGCUCCUGCAUGGCUGGGCACAGGGAAGGGGGACGGGGUGAGACGGUGAGUCGGGCGAUGAGAGGGUUGGGAGGGCAGCCACCAUCACCUCCGUCAUGCUCACUCUUCCUAUCAGUCCAGAGCCUCUGCUCCUUCUUCCCAGACCUUAGGCCAGUCGGUCUUUCCCCCUGAGAAAUUUAAACCUGAGUACGGUCGCCCAGUCAAGAGGCAACGGCAGCUAAAUCACUUCCGGUGUCUCCGUGCUCGGGAGGCUGGUUGUGGGUUCACGGCCACUGUCCUUUCCAAGUCUUGGUGGCCAGUUCUUCCCUGUAAUCUGUGACCUCCUCAGUGCCUUUCAACACAUCUCAUAUUUUAUGCUUCAAAUCGUCAGAGUUGGCUUCUGUUGCUUAGAAUCAAAGGGCCCCAACUACAGCCUCCCCCCCUUCCAGACAGUGUGCCAGCAGCUGGGGAAUUCAAUGGCGAACAAAACCUCUCUUCGGCUUUUUUGAAUAAGACUGAGUUUAGCAUUCAUUUUUUCAAAAAACAUUUUAUGUGGAGUCUCUAUUAUGCAUGUGUUGCUGGCAUCCAGCAGGGCACCAGUUGACACACCCUCUCUCCUCCCAGAUCAUAACGUCUACUGGGGAGGAAAGACACUGUACAUGCAGUUCCUACGUAUCAUGGAAGUGCUAUGGGAGGCAAACUCUGGGUUUAACCAAAACACAUUUAAAGAGCACCAACAACUCAUUGUGGGACCUAGAAGGACCCUGCCCAGAUGGGCUUGGAUGGUCUAAGGGCCACAUCAUCAACAGCUAUUCAUCACACCGAAGCCAAUGAUGUGUGAUGAGAUAGGAGUGAGAAAAAGGACCACUAAUGCUGAUGGCCCCUGCGCCAUGCUGGAAAGCCAAGCUGUGGAAGAGAACACCUGUGCUGUGAGAUUAACUGGCUGAGGGUACACCAGAGUCUUCACCUUUUAGCUCGCAGGCACAAAUGUGUUGCUGUUGUUGUAGCUGUUGCUGUUUUAAGGGUUUUUUGUGAUUUUUAAUUAGAUCAAAAUAUAUACAACAACAGUGACCUUUCCCAUGAUUUUUUUAAAUAUACAAUUUGGUGGCAUAAAGUACAUUCACAACGCUGUGCAACCAACACCACUAUCCAUUUCCAAAACUCAUCAUCCCAAACAGAAGUUCUGUACUCAUGAAACAGUAGCUUCCCAUUCCGCCCUCUCUCCCAGCUUUCGAUAACCUCUAAUCUACUUUCUGUCUCUACAAAUUUACGCCCUCUAAGUAUAUCAUACCAUAAUCAUCCUUUGAUGUCUAGUUUAUUUUAUUUAGGAUAUUUUUUUCAGGGUUCAACUAUGUUGUAGCAGGUAUCAGAAUUUCAUCAUUUUUUCAGGCUGCAUAAUAUUCCAUUGUUUGGAUAGACCACAUUUGGUUUAUUUGGUCAUCUGUUGAUAGAUAUUUGUGUUGUUUCCACCUUUAUGCUAUCAUGUGUAAUGCUGCUAUAAAAAGUUGGUGUAAAAGCAUGUGUUUGAGUUCCUGCCUCCAGUUCUUUUGGGUAUAAACCUAGGAGUGGAACUGCUGAAUCAUAUGGCAAUUCCAUGCUUAAAUUUUUGAGCAACUGCCAAAUUAUCUUCCAAAAGUCUUCAACAGACCAGAGAGUUGAGCCCACCUGCUACCUAACCUGUACCCAGGUCUCAUAGGACCAAUGUGCCCAACCUAUAGAAGAGAGAUUAAGCAUAUAACAACAACGAAAGAAUUAAUGACUUUCAUAAGACAUCUACAAUGUGCCAAUCAGAUACUGGUUGUUUCACUUGAUCUGUCUUAAUUCUUAUACUAACCAUUUGAAGGAAGUGUUUUUAAUUUUAUACCCUUUCUCCAUUAAUUUUAGCAGAUACAGUAGAGUUUGAGAGUUAAGGAAACUUUCCAAGGUCACCAGACAAUCAUAUCUUUUGGUCCCCAGUCCCUUGCUCAUUCCACUACACCACCGCUCUUCUCAGAUCAUCAGAAUAUAUACGAGCCAAGUCAUCCUGGGCAGGGACAUCAGCCAGCUCAACUGGGAGUCAACUGGCCUGCUAGGUAUCGUUCCACAUUUCAAGGUAAAUCAUGAGUCAGUUUCUAGAAGGCUCUGCCUCCUGGCCCUGGGUCAUCCCUGUCCAAUUGUGAGAAAGCAAAGAAGGAAGGGAGGAAGGGAGAGAGGGACAAAGGGAAGGAGGAAGGAAGAAAAGGAGGGGGGAGGGAGGGGUAAGGGUGUGAGAAAGAAAGAAGAAAAGCAGAAAAUAGGAAGGCCAUCUGAUCAACGCUGGGCCUAUACCCUCCAGGCCAUCAUGCCUUCUGUGCUGGCUGGCCUUUUGCAUGAGGCUGUCCCCGCUGAGGUUACACCCCUCCUCACUGUGGCCUCAAGGAACCCAAGAAACACACUCACUGCCUCUUUGGUUAUUUUAUAAACAGUGCUUGGAAACCACGAGUCAUUAUCACUCUUCUGGCCAGCCAGUCAGACUUUCCAUGCCCUUGUGUGUGAUGCCCUUCGCCUUCCCAGAGCCGGCAGCAUCAUUCCUCCAAACCAAGAGGACUGUUUACUUUGGCCGUCAUCAGGGCAGAGUUUACGCAUCAGCCUGUCCUUGCUCAGUGCACAAAAGGCUGGAAGGCUAUCCUCCGAACACUCAUCCCACCUUCCAUUCUUUUAGGCAUGCAUUCGUCCACUUACCCCUAGAUCCUCCCGAGUGGUAUCCAGGAAACUAUACAUCCAUGUAUCCAGCAUCCGUUCAUUUUUGCAUCCCUCAUGCACUCAUUCAUUUACAGAUGCUGAAUCCACCCACAUGGCCCCCUUUAAUCAUUCAUCUACUUAUCAAUUCCUCCCCUUAACUACUCACUGACUCAUUAACCAAUCCAGUAAGGUAUCCAUUUCUUCACGCAUAGGUGCAUCAACUCAUUCAUCGCUUACUCAGUGAACCACGAUUUCUUCACUCCAUCACCCAAUUACUUUCUUAUUCAACCACCUAACCACCUAUUCACUAAAUCUAUAAUCACCCAUUAUGAGCCAGGCACUGCUGUUGAUGUUGGAAAAAUAAGAAUGAACAAUACGGUUCCCAUUAUCCCAUCCACUCACUCGUCUCACAUUAAUUAGCGUCUAUUCAUUUCUCCAGCCUGCAGAAUUCCACCCCUGUGGGCCCUUCAUUGGUUACUGGGUGGGUCCCGGGGAGGUUCAAACAGAGGAAGAGAGAUGAACCCGAGUUCAAGUCCAUGUAUAGAGGGCAACCAAAAUGUGGUUAUGGCUAUGAGACAGAAACUAGGCAAAAGAGAAGAGCCCAGAAUUGGAGACCCCUUAUG
rnacentral:lncRNA from 1 species